rnacentral:rRNA from 1 species
UCUCUCUAAGCAUAACUCUCUAGUGCUCGUACCGCAAACCGACACUGGUAGACGGGUAGAAUAUACCAAGGCGAACGGGAGAACCCUCGUUAAGGAAUUAGGCAACAUGACCCCGUAACUUCGGGAGAAGGGGUACCCUCCUUAGUGUUAAAGCUUCGGAGGGUCGCAGUGAAAUGGCUCUGGUGACUGGUUAACAAAACCACAGGUCUCUGCUAAGCCGUAAGGCGAUGUAUAGGGGCUGACGCGUGCCCAGUGCCGGAAGGUUAAAGGGAGAGGUUAGCGCAAGCGAAGCUUUGAACUGAAGCCCCGGUGAACGGCGGCCGUAACUAUAACGGUCCUAAGGUAGCGAAAUUCCUUGUCGGGUAAGUUCCGACCCGCACGAAUCGCGUAACAAUUAGAGCACUGUCUCGACGAGGGACCCGGUGAAAUUGAAAUGGCUGUGAAGAUGCGGCCUACCCGCAGCAGGACAAAAAGACCCCGUGGAGCUUUACUGCAACUUGGCAUUGUAUUUGGAUAUAAUCUGUGUAGAAUAGGUGGGAGGCUUUGAAGCUGGCGCGCUAGCGUCGGUGGAGCCUCCAGUGAAAUACCACCCUGAUUAUGUUUAGAUCCUAACCCCAUUCCGUAAUCCGGAUGGGGGACCGUGCCAGGUGGGCAGUUUGACUGGGGCGGUCGCCUCCUAAAAGGUAACGGAGGCGCCCAAAGGUUCCCUCAGGUGGAAUGGAAACCCACCAUAGAGUGUAAAGGCAUAAGGGAGCUUGACUGUAAGGCCAACGCGCCGAACAGAGACGAAAGUCGGGCUUAGUGAUCCCACAAUACCGAGUGGAAGGGUUGUGGCUUACCGGAUAAAAGCUACCCCGGGGAUAACAGGCUGGUGAGAUCCAAGAGCUCACAUCGACGAUCUCGCUCGGCACCUCGAUGUCGGCUCAUCGCAUCCUGGGGCUGGACAAGGUCCCAAGGGUCGGGCUGUUCGCCCGUUAAAGCGGUACGCGAGCUGGGUUCAGACCGUCGUGAGACAGGUCGGUCUCUAUCCGCUGUGGGCGUAAGGGAUUUGAAGCGAGCUGCUCCUAGUACGAGAGGACCGGGGUGGACAGACCUCUAGUGUGCCAGUUGUUCCGCCAGGAGCAUCGCUGGGUAGCCAUGUCUGGCAAAGAUAACCGCUGAAAGCAUCUAAGUGGGAAACUUGCCCUAAGAUUAGAUCCCUGUGACCCGUAAGGGUGUAAGACCGCAGGUAGACUACCUGCUUAAUAGGCAGCAUGUGUAAGCACAGUAAUGUGUUAAGCUAAGCUGUACUAAUGGUCGAGGGCUUCCUU